rnacentral:rRNA from 1 species
UACAGAGGGGGCAAGCGUUAUUCGGAAUUAUUGGGCGUAAAGGGCGCGUAGGCGGCUUUUCAAGUGACGGGUGAAAUCCCUCGGCUUAACCGAGGAACUGCCUGUCAGACUGGAAGGCUUGAGACCGGGAGAGGUGAGUGGAAUUCCCAGUGUAGCGGUGAAAUGCGUAGAUAUUGGGAGGAACACCAGUGGCGAAGGCGGUCCCCUGGGCCGGAACUGACGCUGAGGCGCGAAAGCGUGGGUAGCAAACGGG